AUUGAACGCUGGCGGCAGGCCUAACACAUGCAAGUCGAGCGGAUGAAGGGAGCUUGCUCCUGGAUUCAGCGGCGGACGGGUGAGUAAUGCCUAGGAAUCUGCCUGGUAGUGGGGGAUAACGUCCGGAAACGGGCGCUAAUACCGCAUACGUCCUGAGGGAGAAAGUGGGGGAGCUUCGGACCUCACGCUAUCAGAUGAGCCUAGGUCGGAUUAGCUAGUUGGUGGGGUAAAGGCCUACCAAGGCGACGAUCCGUAACUGGUCUGAGAGGAUGAUCAGUCACACUGGAACUGAGACACGGUCCAGACUCCUACGGGAGGCAGCAGUGGCGAAUAUUGGACAAUGGGCGAAAGCCUGAUCCAGCCAUGCCGCGUGUGUGAAGAAGGUCUUCGGAUUGUAAAGCACUUUAAGUUGGGAGGAAGGGCAGUAAGUUAAUACCUUGCUGUUUUGACGUUACCAACAGAAUAAGCACCGGCUAACUUCGUG
rnacentral:rRNA from 1 species